AAGUCGUAACAAGGUAACCGUAGGUGAACCUGCGGUUGGAUCAUUACUAAAUUUGGUUUUUUAAACCAGCUUCCGAGCCUCACGCUGGUCCUUAGGGGCUGCGUGAUGGGUCAUUCGGAUUCACACCCUUGUGAACUACUGAAACGUUUGUCUGAUGGGUUGCGACCCAUGCAUCAGUGUGAUUCCAUUCCUUUAACGAGGAUUGGAUGAGGAACCCCACCUAGCUAGGAGGUGGGCACUGGUGACUGGAGGUCAUUUUGACCUCCAAGUCGUGACCUGUUGGCCUGGCUUAACCACACCAUAUCUUUUUUUAAUCUGACUUAUCAAACAAUCUCUUUAUUGAGAAACAAUGAGAAACAACUUUAGACAACGGAUCUCUUGGCUCUC
rnacentral:misc_RNA from 1 species